CACUCGAUUGCCUACAAACAAAUUUUCGUCGAGUUCAUGAUGGAUUAUCGACCAAUAAAAUGGAUUACUAAAUUUGAUAAGAGGACGGCAGCUUACAUGGCAGUGAACUAUGCGGCAUCAAUGACAGAGGGCAAAAAUCAGAGGAAACCAGAUGAAGACAACCCAUAUUUAUAUCCACCAUAUCCCACAUUUAAGGAGAUUGUGGAUGCAACGAUAGCCGGUUGGAAGAACAAUCACAUCAUUCCAGCUAGUCAGAGAUGUGGUCCAUGUGGUUCAACUCAGUACAAUUUCCUACUGAAAGCGGAAACAUUUGACUGUGAUUUGAAAAAUAUGUUCAACUUAACCGGCAACCUAAGACUUGUCAAAAACAGUGAGAGAUGGAUGACAAACCAGACCCCUGCCCUGAAUAUGACGAUGUUCUACAGCUACUACUCCACCCUGUCAACGGAACAGUUGGACGGUCUGCUCUACCUUUACGAGGACGACUGUUUGCUCUUCCAGUACCCAUGUGCAGAGCACGUGGAAAAUAUUAAACAAUUUAAAUUAUUAAAUCCUGACUUUAAGCAUGAGUAUAAAAACACUUGGUCGGGAAUGUAUGGUGAUCCGGACACUAUUAGCUGAAUUAAUGAAUUCUAUGAUUUCAUUGUUCUUGUCUGCAUCUAAGACUGCAGAAGUAUUUGG